CCAGGGAUUUGGCCCCGGUACACAGCUAAGAUAUGAAGUCUACUGACGACACAUUUAUUCUUAAUUUUCUCCUUUUUUUGCAAAAGAUAAAUGACGAGGGAGACAAUGGCCUUACAGAAGGAAGAGCUGAACCCCCUUAAGGAUAAGGCGUCUUUCUCCUUAAAUAUAAUUAACGAGGGUCUCUGUCAACUUAAAAAGUCAGCAACAACGACGCUCUUUGAUCUGCAGGACUAGCACAGUGUACGUGUGGGCUAUUGUGAAUGUUUGUUAAAAGAUCGUCUUCAGAGAUUUCAUUACGGAUGUUUGUUAUUUAAGACAAGGAAAUGGCUGGAAUGAGGAUAAAAAAUAUAGCU
rnacentral:sRNA from 1 species